rnacentral:lncRNA from 1 species
CUUAUUGCAAAGAACACACUGGCCCUGCAGGCAGACGGGCAGGAGGCUGAGCCCUGACUCUUCCACUUCACUGGCUCAGGGACCCUGGGCAAGCUCACCAGCUUACUGAGCCUCAUGUCUGUAAAAUGGAGCUGCCACUACUCACGGUGCCGGUGGUUCAAGAGAGGAAGUGAGGGCCAGUCGUACAUAUGCUGGAGUCACAUUAUAAGAAACCUGACACAACAGCCAAGAGUCUCUAAAAACCAGAUUGCUAUCUUCUUUGCCUCAUAAGAUGGACCUAAGAAGGGGAAGCCUCUCCGUCACUCCAAGCUGCUCUCAAAAGUCACCCUGCCAAGCCCCCGCCCUGUGUUUGCAUCAUCCGUUUGGACCCGUACCCCGGCCUCGGCUCCUGCCUGAGAUGCCCCAUUAGCUGCUCACCCAGGCUGCUGCAGCCUCGGGCUAAUGGCCCUGCCUCCCCGCCCUCCUCUCCCUUCCGGCUCACUGCCCAUCCUGGACGCCCUCCCUCAGCCCAGCGAGGGGGACUCCUGAGCCUCAGAGACAUCUGGCAGCGCCCAGAGUCUCAGAAACCAGGCGGCCUUUCCUCGAACGGGACCUGCUCGCUUCCUUUGUGCUUUAAGCGAGGAUACGAGGAUACGAGGAUACGAGGAUACAGAGGACAGGAAGCAGAGGCCCGAGCUAGAGACCUCACUUGGCGCCCAGGCUCGCCUGCUCCCUGGGGGCCUCCCUCGUUGAGAUAGUUGGUGUCGCGCUAGAUGGCUUCUAGCGCUGGGGGCGGUCCGUGACCCCGGGAGCCCCUGCCCUGCCCCCCCACCCUGCCCGGGCCCAUCCCAGGGUGGGGAGCGAG